rnacentral:tRNA from 1 species
AAGGGUAGAGCUCAGUGGCAGAGCGCAUGCUUAGCAUGCAUGAGGUCCUGAGUUCAAUUCCCGGUACCUCCA